rnacentral:rRNA from 1 species
ACUUAGCGGCGGACGGGUGAGUAACGCGUGGGCAACCUGCCUUACACAGGGGGAUAACAAUUAGAAAUGAUUGCUAAUACCGCAUAAGACCCCAGUACCGCAUGGUACAGAGGUAAAAACUGAGGUGGUGUAAGAUGGGCCCGCGUCUGAUUAGGUAGUUGGUGGGGUAGAAGCCUACCAAGCCGACGAUCAGUAGCCGACCUGAGAGGGCGACCGUCCACAUUGGGACUGAGACACGGCCCAAACUCCUACGGAAGGCAGCAG